AUUAAACGCUGGCGGCAUGCCUUACACAUGCAAGUCGAACGGCAGCACGGGGGCAACCCUGGUGGCGAGUGGCGGACGGGUGAGUAAAGCAUCGGAACGUAUCCUGGAGUGGGGGAUAACGAAGCGAAAGUUACGCUAAUACCGCAUAUUCUGUGAGCAGGAAAGCAGGGGAUCGCAAGACCUUGCGCUCUGGGAGCGGCCGAUGUCGGAUUAGCUAGUUGGUGGGUAAAGGCCUACCAAGGCGACGAUCCGUAGCGGGUCUGAGAGGAUGAUCCGCCACACUGGGACUGAGACACGGCCCAGACUCCUACGGGAGGCAGCAGUGGGGAAUUUUGGGACAAUGGGCGGAAGCCUGAUCCAGCCAUGCCGCGUGAGUGAAGAAGGCCUUC
rnacentral:rRNA from 1 species